rnacentral:tRNA from 1 species
UAGAAUGGCGGGUCUUGAUCCCACAACUCCGUAGUUAACAGCUAGGGGUCCUACCGAAUGGACCUCACUCUAC